rfam:Triticum aestivum genome assembly, contig: Triticum_aestivum_CS42_TGACv1_scaffold_577656_7BL
AUUCUACUCCCUCCAUUCCACAAUACAUGUCUUCUAUUUGUCAAAAUAUAGAUGUACCUAGACAUGUUUUAGUAUAUAGGUACAUCCAUUUUUGGAUAAAAUGGAAGUCAAGUAUUUUGGAACGGAGGGAGUACACA